rnacentral:sRNA from 1 species
GCCAGGCGUGGUGGUGCAGGCCUGUAAUCCCAGCAGCUUGGGAGGCCGAGGCAGGAGGAUCAUGAGUUCAAAACCAGUCUCAGCGAAGGCGAGGCUCUAAGCAACUUAGUGUGACCCUGUCUUCA